GUCAGUAGGGGUUGUGACGACUGCAGCAAGAGCCUGAAACUCCCCACGGAAUCUGGCAGGAAAGGAGGGGAGGCAAGGAAGACCUUGCGGAGCCCCGGCUCAGGGCCGCCGGCAGCGCUCCCUCGCCUCGCCCACACCGACAAACUCUCGCCCGGGCGGCAUGACGGCGUUCGGGCAGGAGCCUUUUCCGCUUCGUUAAUCCCGCCACGCGAUUGCCACAUUCGGUCCCUGCCCCGAGCGGCUCACGGUGUGACCAACACUCAACUACCACCGACAGAAGAGAGAAAGCAGGAAAGAAAGGAGAAAAAAAAAAGCCCCAAACCCGAGCGAGUUCCCCUGGCCGAGCUUGGCAGCUCUGACACGUCAUCGCCACAGCCGCGCAGCAAAGUGAAACCGCACCGGCACCGGCACGGGGUGACACGGGUUGUGUGGGCGGGCAGGGCUCCAUGCCCGGCCCCAUACCUGCACGCAUACCCGCACCUAUACCUACACCUGGACCUACACCCGCACCUAUACCUGCACCCGUACCCGCACCUAUACCCGCAGCUGUACCCGCACCUAUACCCGUACCCGUACCCAUACCUAUACCCGCACCCAUACCCGCACCUAUACCAGUGCCCAUACCCGCACCCGUACCCAGACCCAUACCUGCACCUAUACCCACACCUAUACCCGCACCCAUACCCGCACCUUUACCCAUACCUGGACCUAUUACCCGCACCCCUACCCCCACCCGCACCCCUACCCCUACCCGCACCCUACCCGCAGCCGGCGGCCGGCAGCAGCGCUCGCGGCGAGCGCAGCCAACAUUCAGAUUUGACACCCAGCCCUCGGCCAAUCCGCGAGGGCUUUUCACCUGCCAGCGCCUCCUCCGCCAAUGGCGCGGCGCCUUGGGGCCGAGAGCCCUCCCCCGGCCAAUGGGGAGCCGGCCCCGGCCCCCGGUUAAUGAUGCAGCAGUACAGGGAAGACUAUCACAUGGGAGCUGGCCGGCUGCCAGCACGGAGACACGGCGAGAGCAAGCUGGCGUGGAAGCGUCUGGAAGGCAGCGCGUACCUGUCCCCCCGGUGCUUUGAAAAGCCGCCCGGCGUGCCCUGCAAUGAUCACUGCGUCACCGCUCCCCACUUGGCGAACUACGCAGUGACAAAGCUCCGAGCUCUGAAACGCAGGGCGGCUGUUAACCCCUCCGCCAAAUCCUCGCCGACAUGCCAGCCCUUGGGGAGACGGGAGGGAAUAAAAAGCCCGAACGGCACACGAAAGCAGCAGUCUUUGCAAAGUUGUCAUCUCUCCCCCACGACUACUUCCCUCCUCUGCAUUACAGCAAUGCCGGCAAGAGUGGCGUUAGUACAACCUGUGCCGUCGUUCCAUUGA
rnacentral:lncRNA from 1 species